GACAGGGGGUGGGACAAGGGUGGGGCGGGCCCUGAAGGGCUGGCUGGCUUCUCCGCAGGCGGCUCGGCUUUGUUCGAAGAACAGUCGAGACUGAUGUCCCCUGACUUCCGAGCCGCUGUUAGCGAGCCUGGCUCCUUCUGAGGCGGCGACCCAGAGCACGCCAGAAGCUCUCUCACUGAGGAAAAGGCCGGAAAACCGACGACGCAGGGCUGCGUCUGCCCGGAAGCGCCGUCCCUCGGACGCCUAACAUGACAGUUACAAGGCAGUCUCUGCCGAGUGGCUUCGGGUGAACUCGCCCCCCGCCCCCUCCCGGGCCGAUCGUGAGACUUGGAUCGGCUGGGCGACUGCGUCACGGAAUGGCUCUUAACUUCCCGGGCGCCGGAGCCUGGCCCCUGAGGCUUUCUCAGAGUUUUGUACGGAUCCGGAAACCUCACGCCCUAACUGGAUCUGCCAGAAUCAGAUUAUAAACGAAGAAGCCAGGAUUGAAUUGAAGCAAGUUGCAGACAUAUUUACCUGCUGUUCUUACCAAAGCAGGACCACUCAAGGGACUAAAGCCGUUAUUACGGUGUGAUAUUUUAGGACAACGUUAAAUUCCUUGAAGGAUUUCAAAGCUGUAAUUGGCAGCCUGUCAGUUAAGUUCAGCAUUAGAGUUUGAUUCUGAUCUUUAACCUUGUUCAGGGCAGCCUGUCCUCACAAUCCACUCCACAGUGGAGGAAGUACCUGACUGACCAAUGAAUCCUGAUUUUGAUUGUAUUUUAAUUGGGCAAUUGCUCCGCACCCAGCUCCCACUACCAUGGUGGAAGCUAUGAUCUGCGCUAUAUGCGGGACCCUGAUAGGUCUAAAGCAUAAAGUAGGAGCUCAGAAAAUACUUGUCAAGUAGGUGAGCUGUAUUUACAUGAAGCACAAAGACAGCACAACUGUGCUAUUUUAUAUUAAUGAGACAGCAGGGGCCAAUAGCUCUUAAUCUAUUCAAAAUACCAAAAUCUAAUCACUUUGAAGCUAUUAAGUCCUGUGCAAUUCUAGUAUAUGUUGGAAAGUUAUCUUUUCAUCUAAGGCAAUAUAAUUUUUCGCUCAUUAGAUCCCCUGUGCUGGGCACUGAACCCGCAGAACCUGCCUGGUACGCGCUACACAAUUGUUCAGCCACAGAAGUACACCUUCCUAACCUAACUUUGACCUCAAAUAAAUCAAUGUGUUACCAAAGAAGGAAGACAUGGGAACAAAUAAAUAAGUGGAUGUCUAACAAACAGGUUGAGCCUCUGUAAGGAGCUCAGACGGUCAAGGAACCGCUCCCAAGCCCAAUACAACCUGAGUUCAAUCCCUGGGACCUUUAUGGUAGAAGUGUAGUAGGGCCCAAGACAACUCCCUCCAUGGCAGAAGUACUAUUCAGGCUGUAAAACUCAGCAUGUAGGCAGUCCUAUCUGCCAAAAGGAAACAAAGACCUAAUUCAUCGAGGUCUAUAGCUCUGGGGAAGUGUAUGUGUGCGAAGAAGCUUGUGUUUGGGCAUCUGUAGUCCACAUCUAGUUAACUGCUUUUCUUAAAUGAAGUCUGUCAACCCAGAACACGGUUUUUGUGCCUCUCACCCUGAUAAAGCCAAGGACUACACACUCGGAUCUGGAACACUCAGACAGCUAAUAUACUUUCCAUUGCCUUAAAACCAUGUCCAAGCAGUCUUCCCUGUUGAAAACUUCACAGCAGAAGGACAGAACAGAUUCCUAAAGGUUGUCCUCUGACCCUGUCUACAGGGAGUUGUAGCAUAUAACCACUCCAUACACUUAGGCAAAUGUAUGUGAAUAAUUUCUUAAAGAAAUAAAAGAUGAACUAGAUUUA
rnacentral:lncRNA from 1 species